AUGUCGGGUCGCACACUUAGAGUGCGCCUUCGCUGAUUAUUUCUGCGAAGGAAAAUUUAAAGAGAUCUUAGCUCGCGAUUCAUUAGAUUCGCUCGAGCGUACCCACGCAAUGUCGGGUCGCACACUUAGUGUGCGAAUUUUUCCUUGCAUGUUGCAGAUGAUGUUCACGCGGAUCGGCAGUGAGGUGUGCUUGCGAUGCUACCAUUGACAGCGCCAAUGCGGUUGAGGGAACGACCGACAAUGUUCUGGCCAGAAGGAAAGAAAUCGCUCUGGCAUUGAACGCCGGGAAAACUUCGCAGUGGAAGACCAUUCUCGGCAAAUUAGCUCGGAGGACCACGAAGCCCUCGAGGGUCGCUUUGGUAGCUGCCAAUCAUGGAAUAUCAUAUACAAACAAAGAUGCAACAGGUGAAAAUUUGUGAAGUAAGCAACACCUCCGCCGCAGCAGCGGCGACCGCCAGCAACGGCAUUUGGAGCAACGCCGUGCAGCGGAGGCGGAAACCAUCUCCCAUUUGUCCGGAAGGAAAGAAAUCGCUCUGGCAUUCAACGCCGGGAAAACUUCACAGUGGAGAAACAUAUUGGGGCAGUUAGCUCGAGGGACUGCCAGGCUUAAACUGGCGAACUUUGUG